UACGGAGGGGGCUAGCGUUGUUCGGAAUUACUGGGCGUAAAGCGCACGUAGGCGGCUUAGCAAGUCGGAUGUGAAAUCCCUCGGCUCAACCAAGGAAGUGCAUCCGAAACUGCUGAGCUUGAGUACGAAAGAGGAUCGCGGAAUUCCCAGUGUAGCGGUGAAAUGCGUAGAUAUUGGGAGGAACACCGGUGGCGAAGGCGGCUACCUGGACCGGUUCUGACGCUGAUGCGCGAAAGCGUGGGUAGCAAACAGG
rnacentral:rRNA from 1 species